GGAAGAUGGAUGCCACUCUUGGCACUGCUGAUCAGCACUGUGCAGAAGCCCAUAGCCAGAGAAUGGCAAGAAAAGGAAUAAAGGGUGCAAGGAUUGGAAAAGAAGAAAUGAAACAAUCAGUAAGAAAUAAAGAAGAGUAGACUGACAUAUUAGGAAGAGAGAAGGAGUAAAGAAGGAAAGAAAAAGAAAGAAAGAGAGAAAGAAAGAGAAAGAAAGAAGGAAAGAAAGAAAGAGAAAGAAAGAAGGAAAGAAAGAAAGAGAAAGAAAGAAAGAAAGAAAGAAAGAAAGAAAGAAAGAAAGAAGGAAAGAAAGAAAGAGAAAGAAAGAAAGAAGGAAAGAAAGAAAGAGAAAGAAAGAAAG
rnacentral:lncRNA from 1 species